ACUACGGGAGGCAGCAGUGGGGGAUAUUGCACAAUGGGGGAAACCCUGAUGCAGCGACGCCGCGUGGGUGAAGAAGCGCCUCGGCGCGUAAAGCCCUGUCAGCAGGGAAGAAAAUGACGGUACCUGAAGAAGAAGCCUCGGCUAACUACGUGCCAGCAGCCGCGGUAAUACGUAGGGGGCAAGCGUUAUCCGGAUUUACUGGGUGUAAAGGGGGCGCAGGCGGGGAUGCAAGCCAGGAGUGAAAGCCCGGGGCUCAACCCCGGGCCUGCUCUUGAAACUGCGUGGCUAGAGUGCCGGAGGGGCAGGCGGAAUUCGUGGUGUAGCGGUGAAAUGCGUAGAUAUCAGGCGGAACACCGGUGGCGAAGGCGGCCUGCUGGACUGCAACUGACGUUGAGGCCCGAAAGCGUGGGUAGCGAACAGGAUUAGAUACCCGUGUAGUC
rnacentral:rRNA from 1 species